UAGGGAAUCUUCCACAAUGGGCGAAGCCUGAUGGAGCAACGCCGCGUGUGUGAUGAGGGUUUCGGCUCGUAAAACACUGUUGUAAGAGAAGAAUGACAUUGAGAGUAACUGUUCAAUGUGUGACGGUAUCUUACCAGAAAGGAACGGCUAAAUACGUGCCAC
rnacentral:rRNA from 1 species